rnacentral:rRNA from 1 species
GAUGAACGCUGGCGGCGUGCCUAAUACAUGCAAGUCGAGCGAACGGACGAGAAGCUUGCUCCUCUGAUGUUAGCGGCGGACGGGUGAGUAACACGUGGAUAACCUACCUAUCAGACUGGGAUACCUUCGGGAAACCGGAGCUAAUACCGGAUAAUAUUUUGAACCGCAUUGUUCAAAAGUGAAAGACGGUCUUGCUGUCACUUAUAGAUGGAUCCGCGCUGCAUCAGCUAGUUGGUAAGGUAACGGCUUACCAAGGCAACGAUGCAUAGCCGACCUGAGAGGGUGAUCGGCCACACGGGAACUGAGACACAGCCCAGACUCCUACGGGAGGCAGCAGUAGGGAAUCUUCCGCGAUGGGCGAAAGCCUGACGGAGCAACGCCGCGUGAGUGAUGAAGGUCUUCGGAUCGGAGAACGCUGUUAUUAGGGAAGAACAUAUGUGUAAGUAACUGUGCACAUCUUGACGGUACCUAAUCAGAAAGCCACGGCUAACUACGUG